AUUGAACGCUGGCGGCAGGCUUAACACAUGCAAGUCGAGCGAGCGGCGGACGUGUGAGUAAUGUCUGGGAAACUGCCUGAUGGAGGGGGAUAACUACUGGAAACGGUAGCUAAUACCGCAUACCAUCAGAUGUGCCCACAUGGGAUUAGCUAGUAGGUGGGGUAAUGGCUCACCUAGGCGACGAUCCCUAGCUGGUCGGGAAGGAUGACAGGCCGCACUGGAACGGAGACACGGUCCGGACUCCUACGAGAGGCAGCAGUGGGGAAGAUUGCACAAUGGGGGCAAGCCUGAUGCAGCGAGGCCGCGUGUGUAAAGAAGGCCGUCGGGUUGUAAAGCACUUUAAGCGAGGGGGCAUUACUCGCAGAGGAAGCACCGGCUAACUCCGUGCCAGCAGCCGCGGUAAUAC
rnacentral:rRNA from 1 species